rnacentral:rRNA from 1 species
UACGUAGGGUGCGAGCGUUGCCCGGAUUUAUUGGGCGUAAAGGGCGCGUAGGCGGCUCGGCACGUCCGUUGUGAAAUCGCCCGGCUCAACUGGGCGGGGUCAGCGGAUACGGUCGAGCUUGAGCAAGCUAGGGGGUAAUGGAAUUCCCGGUGUAGUGGUGGAAUGCGCAGAUAUCAGGAGGAACACCGGUGGCGAAGGCGGUUCUCUGGGAAUGUCCUGACGCUGAGGAGCGAAAGUGUGGGGAGCGAACAGG